rnacentral:rRNA from 1 species
AUGACUGUACCCGAAUAAGAAGGUCCGGCUAACUUCGUGCCAGCAGCCGCGGUAAUACGAAGGGACCUAGCGUAGUUCGGAAUUACUGGGCUUAAAGAGUUCGUAGGUGGUAAAAAAAGUUGGUGGUGAAAUCCCAGAGCUUAACUCUGGAACUGCCAUCAAAACUUUUUAGCUAGAGUAUGAUAGAGGAAAGCAGAAUUUCUAGUGUAGAGGUGAAAUUCGUAGAUAUUAGAAAGAAUACCAAUUGCGAAGGCAGCUUUCUGGAUCAUUACUGACACUGAGGAACGAAAGCAUGGGUAGCGAAGAGGAUUAGAUACCCUCGUAGUCCAUGCUGUAAACGAUGUGUGUUAGACGUUGGAAAUUUAUUUUCAGUGUCGCAGCGAAAGCGAUAAACACACCGCCUGGGGAGUACGACCGCAAGGUUAAAACUCAAAUGAAUUGACGGGGACCCGCACAAGUAGUGGAGCAUGUGGUUUAAUUCGAAGAUACGCGCAGAACCUUACCAACACUUGACAUGUUCGUCGCGACUCUAAGAGAUUAGAGUUUUCGGUUCGGCCGGACGAAACACAGGUGCUGCAUGGCUGUCGUCAGCUCGUGUCGUGAGAUGUUGGGUUAAGUCCCGCAACGAGCGCAACCCUCACUUUUAGUUGCCAUCAUUUAGUUGGGCACUCUGAAAGAACUGCCAGUGAUAAGCUGGAGGAAGGUGGGGAUGACGUCAAGUCCUCAUGGCCCUUACGUGUUGGGCUACACACGUGCUACAAUGGCAUUUACAAUAGGAAGCAAGAUGGCGACAUCGAGCAAAUCCUAAAAAUAUGCCUCAGUUCGGAU